UGGACUUCCGUCUGAUGGAGCACUCUGUGAACCAAUCACAAAUAUCACACCAUGUCCAACCCCACCUCCUGAAGUCGUUAUAUAUGACAUUGCUCUAGUCCUUGAGUGGCGUAUCCCAGUCUCCAGUGUGCCAUCAGAUUUCAUUGAACUA